rnacentral:rRNA from 1 species
UACGUAGGGGGCAAGCGUUGUCCGGAAUCAUUGGGCGUAAAGAGCGUGUAGGCGGUCCGGUCAGUCGGUUGUGAAAGUCAAGGGCUCAACCCUUGAAUGCCGGCCGAUACUGCCGGGCUAGAGUCCGGAAGAGGUGAGUGGAAUUCCUGGUGUAGCGGUGAAAUGCGCAGAUAUCUGGAGGAACACCGGUGGCGAAGGCGGAUCUCUGGAACGGUACUGACGCUGAGACGCGAAAGCGUGGGGAGCGAACAGG